rnacentral:rRNA from 1 species
UUUGGGGGCGUAAGGCCUUCGGUCGAUUCUCAAACUUUAAAUACGCAAGAAAGAGAUGGUUGCUUAAUUGAACCUCUCUUCUGAAAACGUCGGCCCUGUGGGCCACUUUUGGUAAGCAGAACUGGCGAUAUGGGAUGAACCAUAAGUUUGGUUAAGGCGUCAAAAUCUCGGCUUAUAGAUCCCACAAAAGGUGUUGGUUCAUAUAGACAGCAGGACGGUGGCCAUGGAAGUCGGAAUCCGCUAAGGAGUGUGUAACAACUCACCUGCCGAAUGAACUAGCCCUGAAAAUGGAUGACGCUUAAGCCGAGUGCCGACACCAGACCGUUUUGGUAAGAAGCGACCAAAAUGAGUAGGAGGGCGUGGCGAUUUUGUUUAGAAGGGUCAGACGCAAGUCUACCUGAAACGGUCGCUAGUGCAGAUCUUGGUGGUAGUAGCAAAUAUUUAAGCGAGAUCCUUAAAGGGCGAAGCGGGGAAGGGUUCCACGCGAACAUUGAUUGGGCGUGGGUGAGUCGUUCCUAAGCCGGGUGGUAAUCGUUCUUACGAUCGGCGAAAGGGAAGUUGGUUAAAAUUCCAACACACGGAUGUGGAGGCGGUGACGCAAAUUGAGGUGGAGACGUUAGCGGUGACACUGGGCAGAGUUUUCUUUUCUGUUUAACCUGUGCUGCACUCUGUGGAAUCCGAUUAUCGGGAGAAACAGGUGCUUAUGGGAAGAGCGUCGGGGGGUCCCCGGCGUCCAGUACGUCACCGAUAACCCUUGAAAAUCCAUCUGCAAUAUAAUUUCACGCCGUGGCGUACCGAUAACCGCAGCAGGUCCCCAAGGUGAACAGCCUCUGCUCAAUAUGAACAAUGCAGGUAAGGGAAGUCGGCAAAAUAGACCCGUAACUUUGGGAAAAGGGUUGGCUCUAGUGGGGCGAAGGAUCCAAACUGGCCUGUGCCGAUCCGAUGUUGUCGGUCUGUCGGGGUUAAA